GGAUCUAUGGCGCAAUUGGCUAGCGCGUCGGCUUCCAGUUCCGAAGGAUGUCCGUUCAAGUCGGGCUAGGUUCA